rnacentral:rRNA from 1 species
CACGUAGGGCGCAAGCGUUGUCCGGAAUUAUUGGGCGUAAAGAGCUCGUAGGCGGUCUGUUGCGUCCGCUGUGAAAACUCGGGGCUCAACCCCGAGCCUGCAGUCGAUACGGGCAGACUAGAGUGCGGUAGGGGAGACUGGAAUUCCUGGUGUAGCGGUGAAAUGCGCAGAUAUCAGGAGGAACACCUGUGGCGAAGGCGGCUCUCUGGGACGGUACUGACGCUGAGACGCGAAAGCGUGGGGAGCGAACAGG